rnacentral:rRNA from 1 species
CAGAGCGAACGCUGGCGGCAGGCCUAACACAUGCAAGUCGAACGAACUCUUCGGAGUUAGUGGCGGACGGGUGAGUAACACGUGGGAACGUGCCUUUAGGUUCGGAAUAACUCAGGGAAACUUGUGCUAAUACCGAAUGUGCCCUUCGGGGGAAAGAUUUAUCGCCUUUAGAGCGGCCCGCGUCUGAUUAGCUAGUUGGUGAGGUAAAGGCUCACCAAGGCGACGAUCAGUAGCUGGUCUGAGAGGAUGAUCAGCCACAUUGGGACUGAGACACGGCCCAAACUCCUACGGGAGGCAGCAGUGGGGAAUCUUGCGCAAUGGGCGAAAGCCUGACGCAGCCAUGCCGCGUGAAUGAUGAAGGUCUUAGGAUUGUAAAAUUCUUUCAGUAGGGACGAUAAUGA